AAUGGGCGACAGCCUGACGCAGCGACGCCGCGUGGGGGAUGAAGGUCUUCGGAUUGUAAACCCCUUUCGGCAGGGAAGAUGGAACGGGUAACCGUUCGGACGGUACCUGCAGAAGCAGCCACGGCUAACUUCGUGCCAGCAGCCGCGGUAAUACGAAGGUGGCAAGCGUUGUUCGGAUUUACUGGGCGUACAGGGAGCGUAGGCGGUUGGGUAAGCCCUCCGUGAAAUCUCCGGGCCUAACCCGGAAAGUGCGGAGGGGACUGCUCGGCUAGAGGAUGGGAGAGGAGCGCGGAAUUCCCGGUGUAGCGGUGAAAUGCGUAGAGAUCGGGAGGAAGGCCGGUGGCGAAGGCGGCGCUCUGGAACAUUUCUGACGCUGAGGCUCGAAAGCGUGGGGAGCAAA
rnacentral:rRNA from 1 species